rnacentral:rRNA from 1 species
GGUCAAGUUACAAAGGGCUCACGGAGGAUACCUAGGCACACAGAGGCGAUGAAGGACGUGGUUACCUGCGAUAAGUCUUGGGGAGUUGGAAGCACACUUUGAUCCGGGAAUUUCCGAAUGGGGCAACCCCUUGAACGACCAACUGAAUAUAUAGGAUGGUGCGAGUUAACCCAGCGAACUGAAACUUCUUAGUAGCUGAGAAGAGAAAGU